GGCUGCGGGCGCCGGUGGGCGGACGCGACGGCCAGGACUUGGUGGGCGCCGGCCCGGGCACCCCCCUGCCCCCGGCGGCCCUCAGCUUGCCGGAGAAGGACCCCGCGGAGGAGGACGGCCGCGUGCGGGCCCGGCUGAACGCCACGGCCCCCUGGGGCCUCCCCGGGCCCCCCGCGGGCGGCCGGGGGCCCAGCUGCCACUGCCCGGACGGAGGCCCCGGCCAGGCCCCGCAGCAGCCGGGGAAGGGGCAGCGGCAGGCGGGGCUGCGGGCCCCCACGCCCCGCACGGCCGAGGCGGCCUGGGCGGCCAGCGCCCUCACCUUCCUGCUCGUGGUGCUGGCCCUGGCCGUCCUCUGCACGCGGCUCCAUCGCCGGUGCCACCGCGGACGGAGCCUCUACUGGCCGGCGAGCGGCGAGGAGGGCCAAGAGACGGUGGCCGCCGUCAUCAAACGCCGCCUCCUCGCUGUGCAGGGCAGGCGCAAGAAGCGAGUCCGGCAGCACCGGCUGCCGCUUCUGCCGGACGCCUCCAGUGACACCGAGUGAGAUCCGGGCGGCGGCUGGGCAUGCUGGGAAUUGCGCUCCCGCUGGGAAUUGCGCUCUUCGAGCCGAGGGAGCCCAGCCCCGAGACCCCCAGGCUGCACGCACCCAGAGGAGCCGGCAUCCUCACUUGGUGGCGGGGGCCUCGUUUUUUUCCUACGCGACAAAAUAUCUGUAUUUUUCUAUAUAAAGCACGAUCGAAGACUG